ACAUCAUGUUGAAACACCAGUUCCCAUACAAUCACCAAAGUUAAGCAACAUUGAGCCAGGUCAGCAUCUAGAUGGGUGACCACUUGGAAAUACCAGGUGCUGUAAG